UACGUAGGGUGCAAGCGUUGUCCGGAAUUAUUGGGCGUAAAGAGCUCGUAGGCGGUCUGUCGCGUCGGCUGUGAAAACCUGGGGCUUAACUCCGGGCUUGCAGCCGAUACGGGCAGACUAGAGUUCGGCAGGGGAGACUGGAAUUCCUGGUGUAGCGGUGAAAUGCGCAGAUAUCAGGAGGAACACCGGUGGCGAAGGCGGGGUCUCUGGGCCGAAACUGACGCUGAGGAGCGAAAGCGUGGGGGAGCAAACAGG
rnacentral:rRNA from 1 species